rnacentral:rRNA from 1 species
UGGGGAAUUUUGGACAAUGGGGGCAACCCUGAUCCAGCCAUCCCGCGUGUGCGAUGAAGGCCUUCGGGUUGUAAAGCACUUUUGGCAGGGAAGAAACAGCCUGGGAUAAUACCCCGGGCGACUGACGGUACCUGCAGAAUAAGCACCGGCUAACUACGUGCCAGCAGCCGCGGUAAUACGUAGGGUGCAAGCGUUAAUCGGAAUUACUGGGCGUAAAGCGUGCGCAGGCGGUUCGGAAAGAAAGGUGUGAAAUCCCAGGGCUUAACCUUGGAACUGCACUUUUAACUACCGAGCUAGAGUACGUCAGAGGGGGGUAGAAUUCCACGUGUAGCAGUGAAAUGCGUAGAGAUGUGGAGGAAUACCGAUGGCGAAGGCAGCCCCCUGGGAUGAUACUGACGCUCAUGCACGAAAGCGUGGGGAGCAAACAGGAUUAGAUACCCUGGUAGUCCACGCCCUAAACGAUGUCAACUAGUUGUUGGGGAUUCAUUUCCUUAGUAACGUAGCUAACGCGUGAAGUUGACCGCCUGGGGAGUACGGUCGCAAGAUU